AUUCUUAAAAAAAUAAAUUUGUUUGAAAGAUAAUAUUUGUUAUCUAAAAAACAGGAAUCAGUGAUCUGUUAAUAUAACAUCCAUAUUUAAAAUUUUCAAAUAUGAGAAAACGGCUAUUAAUGUAAAUAUUAUAUAUGUCAUAAUUGAAAUUCAUUAAAUAUGGUCAUGUAUAUGUAAUUACUUUUAUAAUAGUGGCUAAUUGUGUUCUUUUUCCAUUAGUAG
rnacentral:lncRNA from 1 species